UGUAAGCUGUCAUGGUUUCUCCUGC
rnacentral:piRNA from 1 species